rnacentral:scRNA from 1 species
CUCCCCGGCGCUCCCCUGGUCAGCGACAAGAGC